rnacentral:rRNA from 1 species
UACGUAGGUGGCGAGCGUUAUCCGGAUUUAUUGGGCGUAAAGGGAACGCAGGCGGUCUUUUAAGUCUGAUGUGAAAGCCUUCGGCUUAACCGGAGUGGUGCAUUGGAAACUGGGAGACUUGAGUGCAGAAGAGGAGAGUGGAACUCCAUGUGUAGCGGUGAAAUGCGUAGAUAUAUGGAAGAACACCAGUGGCGAAAGCGGCUCUCUGGUCUGUAACUGACGCUGAGGUUCGAAAGCGUGGGUAGCAAACAGG